rnacentral:piRNA from 1 species
UGUAUAUUGAGAUGUUCUGGAACCU